rnacentral:tRNA from 1 species
CCUGAUGGCUCAGAUGGUAAAGCGUCUGCCUACAAGGCAGGAGACCUGGGUUCGAUUCCCUGGGUCGGGA